ACUCAAAGGAAUAGACGGGGGCCCGCACAAGCAGUGGAGUAUGUGGUUUAAUUCGAAGCAACGCGAAGAACCUUACCGGGGCUUGACAUGGAGGUGACAGGCAUAGAGAUAUGCUUUUCUUCGGACACCUCACACAGGUGGUGCAUGGUUGUCGUCAGCUCGUGUCGUGAGAUGUUGGGUUAAGUCCCGCAACGAGCGCAACCCUUAUCAUUAGUUGCUACAUUCAGUUGAGCACUCUAACGAGACUGCCCUUUUACGAGGGAGGAAGGUGGGGAUGACGUCAAAUCAUCAUGCCCUUUAUGUCCCGGGCUACACACGUACUACAAUGGCAUUUAACAAUGGGUAGCGAAGCCGCGAGGUGGAGCCAAUCCCCAAAAAAUGCCUCAGUUCAGAUUGCAGGCUGCAACUCGCCUGCAUGAAGUCGGAAUUGCUAGUAAUCGUGAAUCAGCAUGUCACGGUGAAUACGUUCCCGGGCCUUGUACACACCGCCCGU
rnacentral:rRNA from 1 species